rnacentral:rRNA from 1 species
UGGGGAAUAUUGGACAAUGCGGGAAACCGUGAUCCAGCAAUGCCGCGUGAGUGAUGAAGGCCUUAGGGUUGUAAAGCUCUUUUACCAGGGAUGAUAAUGACAGUACCUGGAGAAUAAGCUCCGGCUAACUCCGUGCCAGCAGCCGCGGUAAUACGGAGGGAGCUAGCGUUGUUCGGAAUUACUGGGCGUAAAGCGCGCGUAGGCGGCUAUUCAAGUCAGGGGUGAAAUCCCGGGGCUCAACCCCGGAACUGCCCUUGAAACUAGGUAGCUAGAAUACUGGAGAGGUGAGUGGAAUUCCGAGUGUAGAGGUGAAAUGCGUAGAUAUAGGAAGGAACACCAGUGGCGAAGGCGGCACUCUGGACCAAUACUGACACUGAGGUGCGAAAGCGUGGGGAGCAAACAGGAUUAGAUACCCCCGUAGUCC